rnacentral:rRNA from 1 species
GAUGAACGCUGGCGGCGUGCCUAAUACAUGCAAGUCGAGCGAACGGACGAGAAGCUUGCUUCUCUGAUGUUAGCGGCGGACGGGUGAGUAACACGUGGAUAACCUACCUAUAAGACUGGGAUAACUUCGGGAAACCGGAGCUAAUACCGGAUAAUAUUUUGAACCGCAUGGUUCAAAAGUGAAAGACGGUCUUGCUGUCACUUAUAGAUGGAUCCGCGCUGUAUUAGCUAGUUGGUAAGGUAACGGCUUACCAAGGCAACGAUUCAUAGCCGACCUGAGAGGGUGAUCGGCCACACUGGAACUGAGACACGGUCCAGACUCCUACGGGAGGCAGCAGUAGGGAAUCUUCCGCAAUGGGCGAAAGCCUGACGGAGCAACGCCGCGUGAGUGAUGAAGGUCUUCGGAUCGUAAAACUCUGUUAUUAGGGAAGAACAUAUGUGUAAGUAACUGUGCACAUCUUGACGGUACCUAAUCAGAAAGCCACGGCUAACUACGUG